CGGGGUGCAGCAGGCGCGAAAACUUUACAAUGCGGGAAACCGUGAUAAGGGAACUCCGAGUGCCCGUAAAAUCGGGCUGUCCAUCUGUUUAAAUAACAGGUGAAGAAAGGGCCGGGCAAGACCGGUGCCAGCCGCCGCGGUAAUACCGGCGGCUCGAGUGGUGGCCACUAUUACUGGGCUUAAAGCGUUCGUAGCUGGUCUGUUAAGUCUCUGGGGAAAUCUACUGGCUUAACCAAUAGGCGUUUCAGGGAUACUGGCAGACUAGGGACCGGGAGAGGUGAGGGGUACUCCAGGGGUAGGAGUGAAGUCCUGUAAUCCUUGGGGGACCACCUGUGGCGAAGGCGCCUCACCAGAACGGCUCCGACAGUGAGGGACGAAAGCUGGGGGAGCAAACCGGAUUAGAUACCCGGGUAGUCCCAGCCGUAAACGAUGCGCGUUAGGUGUAUCGGUGACCACGAGUCACCGAGGUGCCGAAGAGAAAUCGUGAAACGUGCCGCCUGGGAAGUACGGUCGCAAGGCUGAAACUUAAAGGAAUUGGCGGGGGAGCACA
rnacentral:rRNA from 1 species